GGGAUGAUCAAGCACCGGCAGGCGAGGAAAUAAUUGCAUACAUUUCAAUUGUAUAUAGAGCCUAGAACCAGACAGAACACUUGGUUUCCUUCAGCUUCUCCCCCUCUACAGGAACACGAAGCACAGAGAGUUUCAUAGCAUUUAAAAGGGAUUUAUUACGAUGUCCUUGGAAGGUAAAGCAGAUACACAGAGAGAGGGUGGGCCUGAUGUCAUGAUGGCUAUUGUUGGACAUCUUCCAUCCCUCAAAGCCACCAGUCACCCUGGAGGGCUCCGAGGCUCUGAUGUAGAUAAACUGCAUUAAAUGCAUCGAAACGACCGUUUCGUUAUUAUCUGCAUUCUCUGUAUGGCAUACAGGCUCAAGCUUUGUUUGUGAAGGAGAGGGUGACAGAGGGGUAUUAGCAGGCUUGUGUUUGUAUCUGGAGACUGUGUUCAGUCGCUGAUGUCAAAGUAAAUGCUUUACUAUUGAUUAAUGUCUUGUCUCCUUCAUCCGCAGCAUGUAGUGGGGUAUAGUCGAUAUGCAGGCUACAUAGUCAAAAGACCAGACAACAGCAUACCUGUUUAACAAAGCCUAUGGAUGACCUCACUCAACAAUGGAAACAGAUGCGUCCAUGCUCACUGUUUGCUUCAAUCCACUGAUAUAUAGAUAACUGAGUAUUGUGGCAUUGUCCUAGUGUAUGUUGGAUGUCCCAAGUGCAGUGGAAAACCAGUUAGUAUCCUCAGAGUAGGUUCAGGUUCGCAACACGAGAAAAUAGUGUCACACAGUGCAAGUCUAAGUCCAUAACAAUCUGUAAUUUGCUUUGAGGUAGAUGAGCGUCUCCAAGUGUUUCGGUAGCACACAACCCCUCUCCAGCUGUAGAUUUUGCCUGGCAGUGGUGAAAAUGCUGGACACUACAGUGCUACUGGCCGGUAUGGUGAAGGUCCUCUUGGCCACUUGGGCCAACAGGGGAAAGUCGAUGGCCUUCCGUCUCCAGUAGUGCAAGGGGUCCUCGUCGGUGGGCUCCUCGCGCAGGUAGCCCGCCAGCUCCUGCUCCAGGCUCUUGGCCUGCAUGGUGGGUCUCUGCUUGAUGAAGGAGAACAGCUUGCACGGCCGCGACAGCGAGGAGAUGGGCGACGGAGCCGGGGAGGACCUGGGCGCCUGGGAGUGGAUCUCCGUGGCGGCGGGGGGGUGGACGGACAGGGAGGGCGGGGCAUGCUUGCUCAGCUCCUCCAGGAGGACCUGCCUGUGCCAGUCCGGGUUGCUGCUCCAGGUGAGCUUGAACUGGGGGUCCAGCGUGGUGACGCUGAUGUAGAGGGGAUCCUCCAGGAUGGGGGCGAGGUCUCGGAGAGGUGCUUGCGCAGGCCCAGGACGCAGGGCAGGGCCAGGCUGAUGGAGACGUGUCGGUCCGUCGGCCUGUCCCAGUGGAUCAUGUCCCAGGCCUCGGUGAAGGGCUCCAACGUGUCGAUGAGCUCCCUCAGCUGGGCCCUCUCCUCGUCGCACAGCGCCAGCUCCCCGCGCCCGCUCAGCUCCUCCAGGAACUCCACCGAGUCCAGCAGCUG
ensembl:lncRNA